GCGGCAGGCCUAACACAUGCAAGUCGAGCGGAAACGAGUUAUCUGAACCUUCGGGGAACGAUAACGGCGUCGAGCGGCGGACGGGUGAGUAAUGCCUAGGAAAUUGCCCUGAUGUGGGGGAUAACCAUUGGAAACGAUGGCUAAUACCGCAUAAUGCCUACGGGCCAAAGAGGGGGACCUUCGGGCCUCUCGCGUCAGGAUAUGCCUAGGUGGGAUUAGCUAGUUGGUGAGGUAAUGGCUCACCAAGGCGACGAUCCCUAGCUGGUCUGAGAGGAUGAUCAGCCACACUGGAACUGAGACACGGUCCAGACUCCUACGGGAGGCAGCAGUGGGGAAUAUUGCACAAUGGGCGCAAGCCUGAUGCAGCCAUGCCGCGUGUGUGAAGAAGGCCUUCGGGUUGUAAAGCACUUUCAGUCGUGAGGAAGGUAGUGUAGUUAAUAGCUGCAUUAUUUGACGUUAGCGACAGAAGAAGCACCGGCUAACUCCGUGCCAGCAGCCGCGGUAAUACGGAGGGUGCGAGCGUUAAUCGGAAUUACUGGGCGUAAAGCGCAUGCAGGUGGUUUGUUAAGUCAGAUGUGAAAGCCCGGGGCUCAACCUCGGAAUUGCAUUUGAAACUGGCAGACUAGAGUACUGUAGAGGGGGGUAGAAUUUCAGGUGUAGCGGUGAAAUGCGUAGAGAUCUGAAGGAAUACCGGUGGCGAAGGCGGCCCCCUGGACAGAUACUGACACUCAGAUGCGAAAGCGUGGGGAGCAAACAGGAUUAGAUACCCUGGUAGUCCACGCCGUAAACGAUGUCUACUUGGAGGUUGUGGCCUUGAGCCGUGGCUUUCGGAGCUAACGCGUUAAGUAGACCGCCUGGGGAGUACGGUCGCAAGAUUAAAACUCAAAUGAAUUGACGGGGGCCCGCACAAGCGGUGGAGCAUGUGGUUUAAUUCGAUGCAACGC
rnacentral:rRNA from 1 species